GAUGAACGCCGGCGGUGUGCGUAAUACAUGCAAGUCGAACGCGUUGGCCCAAUUGAUUGAUGGUGCUUGCACCUGAUUGAUUUUGGUCGCCAACGAGUGGCGGACGGGUGAGUAACACGUAGGCAACCUGCCCAGAAGCGGGGGACAACAUUUGGAAACAAGUGCUAAUACCGCAUAACAACGAAAACCACAUGGUUUUCGUUUAAAAGAUGGUUUCGGCUAUCACUUCUGGAUGGGCCUGCGGCGCAUUAGCUUGUUGGUGAGGUAACGGCUCACCAAGGCUGUGAUGCGUAGCCGAGUUGAGAGACUGAUCGGCCACAAUGGAACUGAGACACGGUCCAUACUCCUACGGGAGGCAGCAGUAGGGAAUCUUCCACAAUGGGCGCAAGCCUGAUGGAGCAACACCGCGUGAGUGAAGAAGGGUUUCGGCUCGUAAAACUCUGUUGUUGAAGAAGAACGUGCGUGAGAGUAACUGUUCACGCAGUGACGGUAUUCAACCAGAAAGCCACGGCUAACUACGUGCCAGCAGCCGCGGUAAUACGUAGGUGGCAAGCGUUAUCCGGA
rnacentral:rRNA from 1 species